GGGUAAGUAGCUCAGUGAUAGAGCACUUGCCUACCAUGCACAAGGUCAUGGGUUCAAUUCUCAUUACCUC
rnacentral:tRNA from 1 species